rnacentral:lncRNA from 1 species
CUAUGCCCUAGAGCUAGUGGAAGACCUAAGAUGGCGGCGUUUGCGCGGGGUGUAACCACUGCGUCCUUACGGGGGUUGCAAGGCGUCCGAAGUAUGAGUCCACUAACAAAAGUCCAGAAACUCGCCAGUUAAUAGUAUUGUGUCUCUUCAAAAUAUCGGAAAAUAAUUUCUUUCUCGCUGAUCGCCUAACUUCUACUGACGAGGCUAGGAAGUUGCAGAAGAUGGAGUUCACUCUUGUUGCCCAGGCUGGAAUGCAAUGGCAUGACCUUGGCUCACUGCAACCUCUGCCUCCCCAGUUCAAGUGGUUCUCCUGCCUCAGCCUCCCGAGUAGCUGGGAUUAGAGAAAUACAAAAAAAUUCUAAAACUUGUAUGGAACUACAAAAGACAUUAAAUAAUUAAAGUAAUCUUGAGCAACAAGGACACAGCUGGAGGCAUCACUCUACCUGAUUUUGUAAUCCAUUAUCAAAAAACUGUGGUACCAGCAUAAAAACAGAUUCACUGACCAGUGGAACAGGAUAGCCCAGACAUAACUCAUGCAUUUUCAUCCAAUUGAUUUUUGACAAAAGUGGCACACAGAAUGGGGAGAGGAUAGAUAAAUAAAUAAAUUGUUUUGAGAUAUCUGUA